GAUGAAGAACGUAGCGAAAUGCGAUAAGUAGUGUGAAUUGCAGAAUUCAGUGAAUCAUCGAAUCUUUGAACGCACAUUGCGCCCCUUGGUAUUCCGAGGGGCAUGCCUGUUCAAGCGUCAUUACACCACUCAAGCUAUGCUUGGUAUUGGGCGUCGUCCUUAGUUGGGCGCGCCUUAAAGACCUCGGCGAGGCCACUCCGGCUUUAGGCGUAGUAGAAUUUAUUCGAACGUCUGUCAAAGGAGAGGAACUCUGCCGACUGAAACCUUUAUUUUUCUAGGUUGACCUCGGAUCAGGUAGGGAUACCCGCUGAACUUAAGCAUAUCAAUAAGCGGAGGA
rnacentral:misc_RNA from 1 species